GCGACGUAGCUUUUUUUUAUACUCUUCGCGCGGAGAGAAAUAGCAUAUCAAUAAGCGGAGGAAAAGUAACCAACAGGGAUUGCCCUAGUAACGGCGAGUGAAGCGGCAACAGCUCAAAUUUGAAAUCUGGCUCUUUUAGAGUCCGAGUUGUAAUUUGCAGAGGGCGCUUUGGCUUUGGCAGCGGUCCAAGUUCCUUGGAACAGGACGUCACAGAGGGUGAGAAUCCCGUACGUGGUCGCUAGCUAUUGCCGUGUAAAGCCCCUUCGACGAGUCGAGUUGUUUGGGAAUGCAGCUCUAAAUGGGAGGUAAAUUUCUUCUAAAGCUAAAUAUUGGCCAGAGACCGAUAGCGCACAAGUAGAGUGAUCGAAAGAUGAAAAGCACUUUGGAAAGAGAGUCAAACAGCACGUGAAAUUGUUGAAAGGGAAGCGCUUGCAGCCAGACUUGCUUGCAGUUGCUCAUCCGGGCUUUUGCCCGGUGCACUCUUCUGCAGGCAGGCCAGCAUCAGUUUGGGCGGUGGGAUAAAGGUCUCUGACACGUUCCUCUCUUCGGGGAGGCCAUAUAGGGGAGACGUCAUACCACCAGCCUGGACUGAGGUCCGCGCAUCUGCUAGGAUGCUGGCGUAAUGGCUGUAAGCGGCCCGUCUUGAAACACGGACCAAGGAGUCUAACAUCUAUGCGAGUGUUUGGGUGUCAAGCCCGAACGCGUAAUGAAAGUGAACGGAGGUGGGAACCCGCAAGGGCGCACCAUCGACCGAUCCUGAAGUUUACGGAAGGAUUUGAGUAAGAGCAUGGCUGUUGGGACCCGAAAGAUGGUGAACUAUGCUUGAAUAGGGUGAAGCCAGAGGAAACUCUGGUGGAGGCUCGCAGCGGUUCUGACGUGCAAAUCGAUCGUCAAAUUUGGGCAUAGGGGCGAAAGACUAAUCGAACAUCUGGGCCCCG
rnacentral:rRNA from 1 species